UUAUGAACCCGAAUGGUUAAAUGAUAACCUAUUAGAAUUAUCGAAAAAGAGUUAGUGAUGGUUGGUACAUUUGCAGUUAAUUGAGAUGUGGAGUUAAUCUUCUGUUUUCGGGUGUGAAAUAGAUUAGUUAUGCCAGGAAAAAUGAUGCAGAUUGGAAACUCAUUAUGCAGGUGAAUUUGUUUUGCAAGAUUUGAGUUGCCGGAGCUUGACCUGAUGGUGAAACGGGCUUGGCGAUUUGGCUUCGCGCAACGGAUUACUAAGGUAGCAAUUGAUUCUUCCUUGGCUUGCUUUGGCUUAGUGUAUUAUUUUGAUAGUAGAUUUGUGGUUCAAUGCUGCAGAAUCAUGGUAUUGCAGCUUGGUUUCGGGUCUGCGAAUUGGUCGUGGUGUAGUUUUCUCUUGUUCUCUUACAGGUCCAAUGACUGGUAUGCUUAACCCAUGGUGCAGCAGGCUUGACGCUUGAAAUCGGGCAUGGGCAGUUCGAAGUUAGGGAAGGUUAUGGAUCAGAUAGCUUGCAGGAAAUGGUGGUUAGGCCGAUGAAAUCAGUUGGUUGACCGCCAGUAGACGUGAACAAAGGUGGCGGUUGCUGAUACUGCAGAGUAUGCCGCGGGUCUGCAUAAUUGACGGGUGAUGUCAUUGUCAAUGCAGAAGGUGUCAAUGAAGUGACAUCGGUUGGGAAAGUUGUGAAGCUGCCCGUAGCCGGAGUUGCUCAUGAAAAGCCCAGAACUUAUUGUAUUCACGCUGCAUCAG
rnacentral:lncRNA from 1 species